rnacentral:rRNA from 1 species
UGGGGAAUAUUGGGCAAUGGGCGAAAGCCUGAUCCAGCGACGCCGCGUGGGGGAUGAAGCCCUUCGGGGUGUAAACCCCUGUUGCGAGGGAGGAAUAAGGCCUGGAGGAAAUGCCAGGCCGAUGACUGUACCUCGCGAGGAAGCCCCGGCUAACUACGUGCCAGCAGCCGCGGUAAUACGUAGGGGGCGAGCGUUACCCGGAUUCACUGGGCGUAAAGCGGGUGUAGGCGGCUCGGUAAGUCGGGUGUGAAAUCCCACAGCUCAACUGUGGAAUUGCGCCCGAAACUGCUGAGCUUGGGGCCGGUAGAGGGAGACGGAACUGCCGGUGUAGGGGUGAAAUCCGUAGAUAUCGGCAGGAACGCCGGUGGGGAAGCCGGUCUCCUGGGCCGCGCCCGACGCUGAGACCCGAAAGCUAGGGGAGCAAACC